UUAGGAAUUUUGCACAAUGGGCGAAAGCCUGAUGCAGCAACGCCGCGUGGACGAUGAAGGCCUUCGGGUCGUAAAGUCCUUUUCAGGGGGAAGACUUCGACGGUACCCCCGGAAUAAGUCUCGGCUAACUACGUGCCAGCAGCCGCGGUAAUACGUAGGAGGCGAGCGUUAUCCGGAUUUACUGGGCGUAAAGAGCGCGUAGGCGGUCUCGUAAGUUGGGCGUGAAAGCCCCCGGCUUAACUGGGGAGGGUCGUUCAAUACUGCGGGACUUGAGGGCGGAUGAGGAGACUGGAAUUCCCGGUGUAGUGGUGAAAUGCGUAGAUAUCGGGAGGAACACCAGUGGCGUAGGCGAGUCUCUGUACCGCUCCUGACGCUGAGGCGCGAAAGCGUGGGGAGCGAACGGGAUUAGAAACCCCGGUAGUCCUAGCUGUAAACGAUGCGGACUUGGUGUGGGUGGCUUAAACUCCAUCCGUGCCGCAGCCAACGCGAUAAGUCCGCCGCCUGGGGACUACGGCCGCAAGGUUA
rnacentral:rRNA from 1 species